rnacentral:rRNA from 1 species
UGAGUGAAGAAGGCCUUCGGGUUGUAAAGCUCUUUUGUCAGGGAAGAAAAGGCUUUGGCUAAUAUCUGCUCCUCAUGACGGUACCUGAAGAAUAAGCACCGGCUAACUACGUGCCAGCAGCCGCGGUAAUACGUAGGGUGCAAGCGUUAAUCGGAAUUACUGGGCGUAAAGCGUGCGCAGGCGGUUUUGUAAGACUGUCGUGAAAUCCCCGGGCUCAACCUGGGAAUGGCGAUGGUGACUGCAAGGCUAGAGUUUGGCAGAGGGGGGUAGAAUUCCACGUGUAGCAGUGAAAUGCGUAGAUAUGUGGAGGAACACCGAUGGCGAAGGCAGCCCCCUGGGUCAAAACUGACGCUCAUGCACGAAAGCGUGGGGAGCAAACAGGAUUAGAUACCCUGGUAGUCCACGCCCUAAACGAUGUCUACUAGUUGUCGGGUCUUAAUUGACUUGGUAACGCAGCU